AAUCAACGCUGGCGGCGUGCCUCAGAUAUGCAAGUCGAACGAUUAAGACUUCCUUCGGGAAGUGCAUAAAGUGGCGCACGGGUGAGUAACACGUAAGUAAUCUACCCUCGAGUGGGGAAUAACAGUCGGAAACGACUGCUAAUACCGCAUAAUGCAGCGGCACCGCAAGGUGACAGUUGUUAAAGGAGCAAUCCGCUUGAGGAGGAGCUUGCGGCAGAUUAGCUAGUUGGUAAGGUAACGGCUUACCAAGGCUACGAUCUGUAUCCGGUCUAAGGGGACGGUCGGACACACUGACACUGAAUAACGGGUCAGACUCCUACGGGAGGCAGCAGUCGGGAAUUUUGGGCAAUGGGCGAAAGCCUGACCCAGCAACGCCGCGUGAAGGAUGAAGUAUUUCGGUAUGUAAACUUCGAAAGAAUAGGAAGAAUAAAUGACGGUACUAUUUAUAAGCUCCGGCUAACUACGUGCCAGCAGCCGCCGUAAAAC
rnacentral:rRNA from 1 species